rnacentral:tRNA from 1 species
GGAGAAGUCGCCUAGUUGGUCGAGGGCGCACGACUGGAAAUCGUGUAGGCGUCAAAAGCGCCUCCAGGGUUCGAAUCCCUGCUUCUCCG